UCUUAUCGCGAGAUGGCUGAGGGACUGGCCCGAUGAUGCCCGGCAACCGGCGCGCUGCUUUCAAUAAAGUGCGAAACGGUGCUAAAUCCUGCAGAACCGCAUGUGGUGCGGCUUCUGAGAGAUGAGA
rnacentral:ncRNA from 1 species